rnacentral:tRNA from 1 species
UGAGUGAUUAAAAAAUUUGGACUUCUAAUCUUUAAUUAAAGCUUUUUGUUUACACUCUC